GACGACGACGCUGGCGGCGUGGAUUAGGCAUGCAAGUCGAACGGUAGGAUCCUUUCGGGGAUCUGAGAGUGGCGAACGGGUGAGUAACACGUAGGUGAUCUACCCUCAAGACGGGGACAACCCAGGGAAACUUGGGCUAAUACCGGAUGUGAGCUAUCGCGAGAUAGUUUGAAAGGUGGCUUCGGCUGCCGCUUGAGGAUGAGCCUGCGUCCUAUUAGCUAGUUGGUGAGGUAACGGCUCACCGAGGCAGUGAUAGGUAGGCGGCCUUAACGGGUGGUCGCCCACACUGGGAUUGAGAUACGGCCCAGACUCCUACGGGAGGCAGCAGUCGAGAAUAGUCUACAAUGGUCGAAAGACUGAUAGUGCGACGCCGCGUGAACGAAGAAGCCCUUCGGGGUGUAAAGUUCUUUUAUAUGUGAGCAGUGACACCCAUAUUAAUAGUAUGGGUGUAGAGAUAUUAGCAUAUGAAUAAGCAACGGCUAACUCCGUG
rnacentral:rRNA from 1 species